rnacentral:rRNA from 1 species
UACGUAGGGUGCAAGCGUUGUCCGGAAUUAUUGGGCGUAAAGAGCUCGUAGGCGGUUCGUCGCGUCGGCUGUGAAAACCCGGAGCUCAACUCCGGGCCUGCAGUCGAUACGGGCGGACUUGAGUGUUGCAGGGGAGACUGGAAUUCCUGGUGUAGCGGUGAAAUGCGCAGAUAUCAGGAAGAACACCCGUGGCGAAAGCGGCUCUCUGGAACGGUACUGACGCUGAGGCGCGAAAGCGUGGGGAGCGAACAGG